AUAGUUACAUAAUAGGUGAGGUUGAAUAGAGACACAGGUUCAUUAGGUUCAACCUUGUGUGUGCAUGUGCAUGUGUGUGUAUGUGU